rnacentral:misc_RNA from 1 species
UGGUUCUGGCAUCGAUGAAGAACGCAGCGAAAUGCGAUAAGUAAUGUGAAUUGCAGAAUUCAGUGAAUCAUCGAAUCUUUGAACGCACAUUGCGCCCCUUGGUAUUCCGAGGGGCAUGCCUGUUCGAGCGUCAUUACAACCCUCAAGCAAUGCUUGGUGUUGGGCCGCGCCGCUAACCCGGCGGGCCCUAAAACCAGUGGCGGUGCCGUCGGGCUCUGAGCGUAGUAACUCUUCUCGCUAUAGAGCCCCGGCGGAUGCUAGCCAGCAACCCCCAAUUUUCUAUGGUUGACCUCGGAUCAGGUAGGGAUACCCGCUGA